UACAGAGGUCCCGAGCGUUGUUCGGAUUCAUUGGGCGUAAAGGGUGCGCAGGUGGCGGGGUAAGUCUGAUGUGAAAUCCCGGGGCUCAACUCCGGAACUGCAUUGGAUACUGCUCUGCUUGAGUACUGGAGAGGAGACUGGAAUUUACGGUGUAGCAGUGAAAUGCGUAGAGAUCGUAAGGAAGACCAGUGGCGAAAGGCGAGUCUCGUGGACAGUUACUGACACUGAGGCACGAAGGCCAGGGAGCAAACGGG
rnacentral:rRNA from 1 species